rnacentral:rRNA from 1 species
GGAAACCGGAGCUAAUACCGGAUAAUAUAUUGAACCGCAUGGUUCAAUAGUGAAAGACGGUUUUGCUGUCACUUAUAGAUGGAUCCGCGCCGCAUUAGCUAGUUGGUAAGGUAACGGCUUACCAAGGCAACGAUGCGUAGCCGACCUGAGAGGGUGAUCGGCCACACUGGAACUGAGACACGGUCAG